UCUUUAAAGAACUUUAUUUCAAAA
rnacentral:piRNA from 1 species